AAUCAACGCUGGCGGCGUGCCUCAGACAUGCAAGUCGAACGCGAAAGUCCCCUUCGGGGGAUGAUUAGAGUGGCGCACGGGUGAGUAACACGUAGGUAAUCUACCUUCGAGUGGGGAAGUAACUCAGGGAAACUUGAGCUAAUACCGCAUAAUGCAGCGGCACCACAUGGUGACAGUUGUUAAAGCAUUUAUGCGCUUGAAGAGGAGCCUGCGGCGGAUUAGCUAGUUGGUAAGGUAAUGGCUUACCAAGGCUACGAUCUGUAACCGGCCUGAGAGGGCGGACGGUCACACUGACACUGAAUAACGGGUCAGACUCCUACGGGAGGCAGCAGUCGGGAAUUUUGGGCAAUGGGCGAAAGCCUGACCCAGCAACGCCGCGUGAAGGAU
rnacentral:rRNA from 1 species